ensembl:snRNA U6 U6 spliceosomal RNA
CCAAAAAAUUUGACUAUGGUCAACUUGGAAAGAUAUUGAGAAGAUGAGCACAGCUCCUGCUCAAGAAAGAGGCACAGCUUUAGGAGGCAUUCCUUCAUAUC